CGGGACACGUGGUAUCCUGUCUGAAUAUGGGGGGACCAUCCUCCAAGGCUAAAUACUCCUGACUGACCGAUAGUGAACCAGUACCGUGAGGGAAAGGCGAAAAGAACCCCGGCGAGGGGAGUGAAAAAGAACCUGAAACCGUGUACGUACAAGCAGUGGGAGCACGCUUAGGCGUGUGACUGCGUACCUUUUGUAUAAUGGGUCAGCGACUUAUAUUCUGUAGCAAGGUUAACCGAAUAGGGGAGCCGAAGGGAAACCGAGUCUUAACUGGGCGUUAAGUUGCAGGGUAUAGACCCGAAACCCGGUGAUCUAGCCAUGGGCAGGUUGAAGGUUGGGUAACACUAACUGGAGGACCGAACCGACUAAUGUUGAAAAAUUAGCGGAUGACUUGUGGCUGGGGGUGAAAGGCCAAUCAAACCGGGAGAUAGCUGGUUCUCCCCGAAAGCUAUUUAGGUAGCGCCUCGUGAAUUCAUCUCCGGGGGUAGAGCACUGUUUCGGCAAGGGGGUCAUCCCGACUUACCAACCCGAUGCAAACUGCGAAUACCGGAGAAUGUUAUCACGGGAGACACACGGCGGGUGCUAACGUCCGUCGUGAAGAGGGAAACAACCCAGACCGCCAGCUAAGGUCCCAAAGUCAUGGUUAAGUGGGAAACGAUGUGGGAAGGCCCAGACAGCCAGGAUGUUGGCUUAGAAGCAGCCAUCAUUUAAAGAAAGCGUAAUAGCUCACUGGUCGAGUCGGCCUGCGCGGAAGAUGUAACGGGGCUAAACCAUGCACCGAAGCUGCGGCAGCGACGCUGAUGCGUUGUUGGGUAGGGGAGCGUUCUGUAAGCCUGCGAAGGUGUGCUGUGAGGCAUGCUGGAGGUAUCAGAAGUGCGAAUGCUGACAUAAGUAACGAUAAAGCGGGUGAAAAGCCCGCUCGCCGGAAGACCAAGGGUUCCUGUCCAACGUUAAUCGGGGCAGGGUGAGUCGACCCCUAAGGCGAGGCCGAAAGGCGUAGUCGAUGGGAAACAGGUUAAUAUUCCUGUACUUGGUGUUACUGCGAAGGGGGGACGGAGAAGGCUAUGUUGGCCGGGCGACGGUUGUCCCGGUUUAAGCGUGUAGGCUGGUUUUCCAGGCAAAUCCGGAAAAUCAAGGCUGAGGCGUGAUGACGAGGCACUACGGUGCUGAAGCAACAAAUGCCCUGCUUCCAGGAAAAGCCUCUAAGCAUCAGGUAACAUCAAAUCGUACCCCAAACCGACACAGGUGGUCAGGUAGAGAAUACCAAGGCGCUUGAGAGAACUCGGGUGAAGGAACUAGGCAAAAUGGUGCCGUAACUUCGGGAGAAGGCACGCUGAUAUGUAGGUGAAGUCCCUCGCGGAUGGAGCUGAAAUCAGUCGAAGAUACCAGCUGGCUGCAACUGUUUAUUAAAAACACAGCACUGUGCAAACACGAAAGUGGACGUAUACGGUGUGACGCCUGCCCGGUGCCGGAAGGUUAAUUGAUGGGGUCAGCGCAAGCGAAGCUCUUGAUCGAAGCCCCGGUAAACGGCGGCCGUAACUAUAACGGUCCUAAGGUAGCGAAAUUCCUUGUCGGGUAAGUUCCGACCUGCACGAAUGGCGUAAUGAUGGCCAGGCUGUCUCCACCCGAGACUCAGUGAAAUUGAACUCGCUGUGAAGAUGCAGUGUACCCGCGGCAAGACGGAAAGACCCCGUGAACCUUUACUAUAGCUUGACACUGAACAUUGAGCCUUGAUGUGUAGGAUAGGUGGGAGGCUUUGAAGUGUGGACGCCAGUCUGCAUGGAGCCGACCUUGAAAUACCACCCUUUAAUGUUUGAUGUUCUAACGUUGACCCGUAAUCCGGGUUGCGGACAGUGUCUGGUGGGUAGUUUGACUGGGGCGGUCUCCUCCUAAAGAGUAACGGAGGAGCACGAAGGUUGGCUAAUCCUGGUCGGACAUCAGGAGGUUAGUGCAAUGGCAUAAGCCAGCUUGACUGCGAGCGUGACGGCGCGAGCAGGUGCGAAAGCAGGUCAUAGUGAUCCGGUGGUUCUGAAUGGAAGGGCCAUCGCUCAACGGAUAAAAGGUACUCCGGGGAUAACAGGCUGAUACCGCCCAAGAGUUCAUAUCGACGGCGGUGUUUGGCACCUCGAUGUCGGCUCAUCACAUCCUGGGGCUGAAGUAGGUCCCAAGGGUAUGGCUGUUCGCCAUUUAAAGUGGUACGCGAGCUGGGUUUAGAACGUCGUGAGACAGUUCGGUCCCUAUCUGCCGUGGGCGCUGGAGAAUUGAGGGGGGCUGCUCCUAGUACGAGAGGACCGGAGUGGACGCAUCACUGGUGUUCGGGUUGUCAUGCCAAUGGCACUGCCCGGUAGCUAAAUGCGGAAGAGAUAAGUGCUGAAAGCAUCUAAGCACGAAACUUGCCCCGAGAUGAGUUCUCCCUGACUCCUUGAGAGUCCUGAAGGAACGUUGAAGACGACGACGUUGAUAGGCCGGGUGUGUAAGCGCAGCGAUGCGUUGAGCUAACCGGUACUAAUGAACCGUGAGGCUUAACCUUACAACGCCGAAG
rnacentral:rRNA from 1 species